GCCCGCUUGGCUUAGGGGUAAAGCGUCUCACUCGUAUAUCCAAUGCGCAAUGAGAAGAUCAGCUGUUCGAAUCAGCUAGUGGGCA